rnacentral:rRNA from 1 species
AGUUUGAUCCUGGCUCAGAACGAACGCUAGCGGCGCGUUUCAGGCAUGCAAGUCGCACGGCACCAGCCCUUCGGGGUGUAGGCGAGUGGCGCACGGGUGAGUAACGCGUAGGUCAUCUGCCCUUAGGUCAGGGAUAGCCCUUCGAAAGUUGGAUUAAUACCCGAUAAUAUGGCGACAUCAAAGGAUUUAUUCGCCUAAGGAUGAGCCUGCGUUAGAUUAGCUUGUUGGUGAGGUAACGGCUCACCAAGGCGACGAUCUAUAGCCGAGUUGAGAGGCUGAUCGGCCACAUUGGAACUGAGACACGGUCCAGACUCCUACGGGAGGCAGCAGCUAAGAAUCUUCCGCAAUGGGCGCAAGCCUGACGGAGCGACGCCGCGUGAACGAUGAAGGCCUUUCGGGUUGUAAAGUUCUUUUAUAAGAGACGAAUGUCUGGUGUAGGCCAGACUGACUGUAUCUUUUGAAUAAGGUCCGGCUAACUACGUGCCAGCAGCCGCGGUAAUACGUAGGGACCAAGCGUUGUUCGGAAUUAUUGGGCGUAAAGGGUACGUAGGCGGAAUGAUAAGUCAGAUGUGAAACCCUCGGGCUCAACCUGAGGCCUGCGUCUGAUACUGUUGUGCUAGAGUUACUGAGAGGAAGACGGAAUACCUGGUGUAGGGGUGAAAUCUAUAGAUAUCAGGAAGAACAGCUAUUGCGAAGGCCAGACUACAGGCAGCUAGCUGACGCUGAUUUACGAAAGUAACGGUAGCAAACCGGAUUAGAGACCCUGGUAGUCCUAACCGUAA